UACGUAGGGACCGAGCGUUGUCCGGAAUCAUUGGGCGUAAAGAGCGUGUAGGCGGCUUGCUAAGUCUUGCGUGAAAUCUCGGGGGCUCAACCCCCGAGCGGUCGUGGGAAACUGGCAGGCUAGAGUGCGGGAGAGGAGAAUGGAAUUCCUGGUGUAGCGGUGAAAUGCGCAGAUAUCAGGAAGAACACCCGUGGCGAAGGCGGUUCUCUGGAACGCAACUGACGCUGAGACGCGAAAGCGUGGGGAGCAAACGGG
rnacentral:rRNA from 1 species